GAUGAACGCUGGCGGCGUGCCUAAUACAUGCAAGUCGAGCGAACGGACGAGAAGCUUGCUUCUCUGAUGUUAGCGGCGGACGGGUGAGUAACACGUGGAUAACCUACCUAUAAGACUGGGAUAACUUCGGGAAACCGGAGCUAAUACCGGAUAAUAUUUUGAACCGCAUGGUUCAAAAGUGAAAGACGGUCUUGCUGUCACUUAUAGAUGGAUCCGCGCUGCAUUAGCUAGUUGGUAAGGUAACGGCUUACCAAGGCAACGAUGCAUAGCCGACCUGAGAGGGUGAUCGGCCACACUGGAACUGAGACACGGUCCAGACUCCUACGGGAGGCAGCAGUAGGGAAUCUUCCGCAAUGGGCGAAAGCCUGACGGAGCAACGCCGCGUGAGUGAUGAGGGUCUUCGGAUCGUAAAACUCUGUUAUUGGGGAAGAACAUAUGUGUAAGUAACUGUGCACAUCUUGACGGUACCUAAUCAGAAAGCCACGGCUAACUACGUG
rnacentral:rRNA from 1 species